rnacentral:rRNA from 1 species
GACGAACGCUGGCGGCGUGCUUAACACAUGCAAGUCGAACGGAAAGGCCCUGCUUUUGUGGGGUUCUCGAGUGGCGAACGGGUGAGUAACACGUGAGUAACCUGCCCUUGACUUUGGGAUAACUUCAGGAAACUGGGGCUAAUACCGGAUAGGAUCUCCUGUUGCAUGGUGGGGGUUGGAAAUUUUCGGCGGUUGGGGAUGGACUCGCGGCUUAUCAGCUUGUUGGUGGGGUAGUGGCUUACCAAGGCUUUGACGGGUAGCCGGCCUGAGAGGGUGACCGGCCACAUUGGGACUGAGAUACGGCCCAGACUCCUACGGGAGGCAGCAGUGGGGAAUAUGGCACAAUGGGCGGAAGCCUGAUGCAGAAACGCCGCGGUCGGGAUGCCGGCCUUCGGGUUGUAAACCGCUGUCGCCUGUGACGAAGCGGGAGUGACGGUAAUGGGUAAAGAAGCACCGGCUAACUACGUG